UCUGUUGCAGUCUUCAUUUUCUUCAAUCAUCAUUGAGUGAUUAAUGAGAUAUAUGUACUGUGGAUAAAGCAUUUACCAUGUCGACGAAUAACGUUUCAGCGGAGGCUCCUGACACUGACAGAACUGAGUCUGGCUCGUCAAAUCCUCGGAUGGCUGAUUUCCUGAAGCAGGCACUGGCCAGUGAAGAGCUCAGUGAUGUGCAGUUCGCCGUGGGACGCGACUUCGGCUGGGUCCGACACUUUUCCGCGCAUAAGUUCUUCUUGGGCAUUCGCAGUCCCGUCUUCCGCAGAAUGUUCUAUGGAAGUUUGCCUGAAAAAUGUGAAAAUGCCAUCGACAUUCCCGAUAUUCAUCCAGACGGCUUCGCCAAUAUGUUGAGUUUUCUCUACACCGAUGCAGUUGAUCAGCUCAACGCGAACAAUGUUUUCCUGACCAUGCUGGUGUGCUGACAAGUACGAUCUGCCGCAGCUGGUGCA